GAUGAACGCUGGCGGCGUGCCUAAUACAUGCAAGUCGAGCGAACGGACGAGAAGCUUGCUUUUCUGAUGUUAGCGGCGGACGGGUGAGUAACACGUGGAUAACCUACCUAUAAGACUGGGAUAACUUCGGGAAACCGGAGCUAAUACCGGAUAAUAUUUUGAACCGCAUGGCUCAAAAGUGAAAGACGGUCUUGCUGUCACUUAUAGAUGGAUCCGCGCUGCAUUAGCUAGUUGGUAAGGUAACGGCUUACCAAGGCAACGAUGCAUAGCCGACCUGAGAGGGUGAUCGGCCACACUGGAACUGAGACACGGUCCAGACUCCUACGGGAGGCAGCAGUAGGGAAUCUUCCGCAAUGGGCGAAAGCCUGACGGAGCAACGCCGCGUGAGUGAUGAAGGUCUUCGGAUCGUAAAACUCUGUUAUUAGGGAAGAACAUAUGUGUAAGUAACUGUGCACAUCUUGACGGUACCUAAUCAGAAAGCCACGGCUAACUACGUGCCAGCAGCCGCGGUAAUACGUAGGUGGCAAGCGUUAUCCGGAAUUAUUGGGCGUAAAGCGCGCGUAGGCGGUUUUUUAAGUCUGAUGUGAAAGCCCACGGCUCAACCGUGGAGGGUCAUUGGAAACUGGAAAACUUGAGUGCAGAAGAGGAAAGUGGAAUUCCAUGUGUAGCGGUGAAAUGCGCAGAGAUGUGGAGGAACACCAGUGGCGAAGGCGACUUUCUGGUCUGUAACUGACGCUGAUGUGCGAAAGCGUGGGGAUCAAACAGGAUUAGAUACCCUGGUAGUCCACGCCGUAAACGAUGAGUGCUAAGUGUUAGGGGGUUUCCGCCCCUUAGUGCUGCAGCUAACGCAUUAAGCACUCCGCCUGGGGAGUACGACCGCAAGGUUGAAACUCAAAGGAAUUGACGGGGGCCCGCACAAGCGGUGGAGCAUGUGGUUUAAUUCGAAGCAACGCGAAGAACCUUACCAAAUCUUGACAUCCUUUGACAACUCUAGAGAUAGAGCCUUCCCCUUCGGGGGACAAAGUGACAGGUGGUGCAUGGUUGUCGUCAGCUCGUGUCGUGAGAUGUUGGGUUAAGUCCCGCAACGAGCGCAACCCUUAAGCUUAGUUGCCAUCAUUAAGUUGGGCACUCUAAGUUGACUGCCGGUGACAAACCGGAGGAAGGUGGGGAUGACGUCAAAUCAUCAUGCCCCUUAUGAUUUGGGCUACACACGUGCUACAAUGGACAAUACAAAGGGCAGCGAAACCGCGAGGUCAAGCAAAUCCCAUAAAGUUGUUCUCAGUUCGGAUUGUAGUCUGCAACUCGACUACACUGAAGCUGGAAUCGCUAGUAAUCGUAGAUCAGCAUGCUACGGUGAAUACGUUCCCGGGUCU
rnacentral:rRNA from 1 species